rnacentral:rRNA from 1 species
UACGUAGGGCGCAAGCGUUGUCCGGAAUUAUUGGGCGUAAAGAGCUCGUAGGCGGCCAGUUGCGUCCGCUGUGAAAUCCCGGGGCUUAACCCCGGGCGUGCAGUGGAUACGGGCUGGCUAGAGGCAGGCAGGGGAGAACGGAGUUCCCGGUGUAGCGGUGAAAUGCGCAGAUAUCGGGAGGAACACCGGUGGCGAAGGCGGUUCUCUGGGCCUGUACUGACGCUGAGGAGCGAAAGCGUGGGGAGCAAACAGGG